GAUCUGGUUAGACCGCCCCUAAGGACUUUAUUUUAUACAUAUCUCAUUAUAGGAGUUACAAGAUAAUUAGGAUGUUUACAGUACUAUGAUUGGUCAAUACAAGUUAUAUAAUCUCACGUGAUACAUAUUGGCAAUAAAGAAUCUUACAUAACAGAGUAAUACAUCAAAGUGACAAGAUCCAAAAUUCAAAAGAUCACAUUCCCACAUUUAGCUUGGACGCAUCUUAAUGUUGGCUCAUCAAUAUCCACAGUUCUUGGAAUUUCAAGUACAUUGUCACAAGGCCAAUUUUAUGAAUUGUCCAACAAACAGAUUUGCACAAUAACCUACAAAUUCUCCAUAAAACUCCUUUUCCUGCGGUUAUUUUAGAGAGGUCAUACUCUCCCUUCUACUUGUAGACUGCUAUCUCCAGCUAUUCACAGAUGACCUUAGCCUUAAUAAAUGUGUUCAGUGGAAUAUAUGAUAAAGGUUACACUUCAUAUAUCUUAAGCAACAUAUUGCAAUUACUCUCACAAUUCCCCUCUUUUUAUCACUAUUCCACUGCUUAUGCUGAGUCAGAGCCCUGACUCCCUACACAACGAAAAGAGAACAGGCCGGAAAAUCAUCCUUCUUACACAAAGUGCAAGAAUAUUUUUUUUUGCAGAUUAUGGGAUGUCCUGCAUCCAUUCAGAAGACUUUCUUACAUGGCUCCUUCUCACUACAUUCUCUCAAUGCAUAAUCAAUGGAAUAAUGAAUUAAAUUAUGCACAGUUUAGUGUUGCUCGAUUGUGGAAUUUCCACAAUAUAUACAAUCAGUUAUAUUUUUAACAAUCUUUUGAUUGCAAUAAGUACAAUGAUCUGUAGGCACUUCCGGACUUGGAAUUGGCGUGACAAUAAUAGUCUCUGUUUCUUUAGAUGUUGAUACUGGUGACAUCAUAACCAUAACUUGUGAAGGAUUAUCUUUUGGUUGUAUCACAGUUGUUGUCGUAGUUUUUCCUGAAAAACACUUGGACUUUAAUAUCUUUUUACAAAUUAGUAAGAAAAUCUUUAUCACUAUAAAGAUAAUCAAGAUAAGGAAACAUCCUUGUA